ensembl:snoRNA
UCAUGGGCCUCCAGCCUGCCAGUGUCUGCAGUGAGCCUGUGCAUGUCUACUGUGCUUCUAAGAACAGCUUCAAAGUCGUUUGAGGCCCUGCUCUGCUUUGUCCAAGGCAAGGCUAUAGAAUAUCAGACAACU